GACGAACGCUGGCGGCGUGCCUAAUACAUGCAAGUAGAACGCAGUUGCGAACGGGUGAGUAACGCGUAGGUAACCUGCCUCAUAGAGGGGGAUAACUAUUGGAAACGAUAGCGAAUACCGCCUACUGUGAGAUGGACCUGCGUUAUAUUAGCUAGUUGGUGGGGUAAAGGCUCACCAAGGCGCCGCUACAUAGCCGGCCGGAGAGGGUGAUCGGCAACACUGUGACUGAGAAACGGUCCAGACUCCUACGGGAGGCAGCAGUGGGGAAUAUUGCACAAUGGGCGCAAGCCUGAUGCAGCCAUGCCGCGUGUAUGAAGAAGGCCUUCGGGUUGUAAAGGACUUUUGUUAGGGAAGCGGUACCUAAAGAAUAAGCACCGGCUAACUACGUGCCAGCAGCCGCGGUAAUAC
rnacentral:rRNA from 1 species